UAGGUGGUUUGUCGCGUUGUCCGUGAAAACUCACAACUCAAUUGUGGGCGUGCGGGCGAUACGGGCAGACUGGAGUACUGCAGGGGAGACUGGAAUUCCUGGUGUAGCGGUGGAAUGCGCAGAUAUCAGGAGGAACACCGGUGGCGAAGGCGGGUCUCUGGGCAGUAACUGACGCUGAGGAGCGAAAGCGUGGGGAGCGAACAGGAUUAGAUACCCUGGUAGUCCACGCCGUAAACGGUGGGUACUAGGUGUGGGUUUCCUUCCUUGGGAUCCGUGCCGU
rnacentral:rRNA from 1 species